rnacentral:rRNA from 1 species
ACCCAUGGCCAUGCCACCCUGAACAAGCCUGAUGUCUGAUCUCGGAAGCUAAGCAGGGUCGGGCCUGGUUAGUAAGUACUUGGAUGGGAGACCACGUAGGAAGACCAGAUGCUGUAGGCA